rnacentral:rRNA from 1 species
CGGGAGUAACGCGUGAGGAACCUGCCUCAAAGAGGGGGACAACAGUUGGAAACGACUGCUAAUACCGCAUAAGCCCACGGCUCGGCAUCGAGCAGAGGGAAAAGGAGCAAUCCGCUUUGAGAUGGCCUCGCGUCCGAUUAGCUAGUUGGUGAGGUAAUGGCCCACCAAGGCGACGAUCGGUAGCCGGACUGAGAGGUUGAACGGCCACAUUGGGACUGAGACACGGCCCAG